rnacentral:rRNA from 3 species
AAAACGACUCUCGGCAACGGAUAUCUCGGCUCACGCAUCGAUGAAGAACGUAGCAAAAUGCGAUACUUGGUGUGAAUUGCAGAAUCCCGUGAACCAUCGAGUUUUUGAACGCAAGUUGCGCCCGAAGCCAUUAGGUCGAGGGCACGUCUGCCUGGGCGUCACGU